AUUGAACGCUGGCGGCAUGCCUUACACAUGCAAGUCGAACGGCAGCACGGGAGCAAUCCUGGUGGCGAGUGGCGAACGGGUGAGUAAUAUAUCGGAACGUGCCCAGUCGUGGGGGAUAACGUAGCGAAAGCUACGCUAAUACCGCAUACGAUCUAUGGAUGAAAGCGGGGGAUCGCAAGACCUCGCGCGAUUGGAGCGGCCGAUAUCAGAUUAGGUAGUUGGUGAGGUAAAGGCUCACCAAGCCGACGAUCUGUAGCUGGUCUGAGAGGACGACCAGCCACACUGGGACUGAGACACGGCCCAGGACUCCUACGGGAGGCAGCAGUGGGGAAUUUUUGGGACAAUAGGGCGCAAGCCUGAUCCAGCAAUGCGCCGUGCAGG
rnacentral:rRNA from 1 species